rnacentral:rRNA from 1 species
GAUGAACGCUGGCGGCGUGCCUAACACAUGCAAGUCGAACGGAGUUAUUAUUAUGAAGUUUUCGGAUGGAUUAAUAAUAACUUAGUGGCGGACGGGUGAGUAACGCGUGGGUAACCUGCCUCAUACAGGGGGAUAACAGUUGGAAACGGCUGCUAAAACCGCAUAACAUUGCGAUGUCGCAUGACAAUGCAAUUAAAUAUUUAUAGGUAUGAGAUAGGCCCGCGUCUGAUUAGCUAGUUGGUGGGGUAAUGGCCUACCAAGGCGACGAUCAGUAGCCGGCUUGGGAGAGUGACCGGCCACAUGGGGACUGACACGGCCCAAACUCCUACGGGAGGCAGCAGUGGGGAAUAUUGCACCAUGGGGGAAACCCUGAUGCAGCGACGCCGCGUGAGUGAAGAAGUAUUUCGGUAUGUAAAGCUCUAUCAGCAGGGAAGAAAAUGACGGUACCUGACUAAGAAGCCCCGGCUAACUACGUGCCAGCCGCCGCCGUAA